AUCGAACGCUGGCGGCAGGCCUAACACAUGCAAGUCGAGCGGAUGAAGGUAGCUUGCUACCUGAUUCAGCGGCGGACGGGUGAGUAAUGCCUAGGAAUCUGCCUGGUAGUGGGGGACAACGUUUCGAAAGGAACGCUAAUACCGCAUACGUCCUACGGGAGAAAGUGGGGGAUCUUCGGACCUCACGCUAUCAGAUGAGCCUAGGUACGAUUAGCUAGUUGGUGAGGUAAAGGCUCACCAAGGCGACGAUCGUUAACUGGUCUGAGAGGAUGAUCAGUCACACUGGAACUGAGACACGGUCCAGACUCCUACGGGAGGCAGCAGUGGGGAAUAUUGGACAAUGGGCGAAAGCCUGAUCCAGCCAUGCCGCGUGUGUGAAGAAGGUCUUCGGAUUGUAAAGCACUUUAAGUUGGGAGGAAGGGAAGUAAGUUAAUACCUUGCUGUUUUGACGUUACCGACAGAAUAAGCACCGGCUAACUUCGUGCCAGCAGCCGCCGUAACAC
rnacentral:rRNA from 1 species